UACGUAGGCAGCGAGCGUUGUUCGGAGUUACUGGGCGUAAAGGGUGUGUAGGCGGUUGUUUAAGUUUGGUGUGAAAUCUCCCGGCUCAACUGGGAGGGUGCGCCGAAUACUGAAUGACUUGGAGUGCGGGAGAGGAAAGUGGAAUUCCUGGUGUAGCGGUGAAAUGCGUAGAUAUCUGGAGGAAUACCGGUGGCGAAGGCGGCAUCCUGGACCGGCAUUGACGCUGAGGAGCGAAAGCUAGGGGAGCAAACGGG
rnacentral:rRNA from 1 species